rnacentral:misc_RNA from 1 species
UCUCCCGUGAGGGAGCUGUCUCGCCUGACACUUAUAACAGGCAACGAGGGUUGCGUUCGUUUCCCCACUUAAGGGAACAACUCAAGCCACGAACUGACGACGACCAUGCAUCACCUGCCAUACACCCUCGAAGGCUUCCUCCCUUUCAGGAGGCGUGCAGUAUGGUUUCUAACCCUGGUAAGGUUCUUCGCUUACCGACGAAUUAAGCCUCAUGAUCCACCGCUUGUGCGAGCCCCCGUCUAUUCCUUUGAGUUUUAAUCUUGCGAUCGUACUACCCAGGCGGUCAACUUAACGCGUUAGCUUCGCCUCAGGGAGGGUCGAUACUCCCAAAAGCCAGUUGACAUCGUUUAGGGCGUGGACUAC